AUAAGACGAGAAGACCCUAUGAAGCUUCAGACGUAAAGUGGACCAAGCUACAAAGACCCCAUGAUAAAGGGACAAACCAAAAGAGCCGCCACCCCAAUGUCUUUGGUUGGGGCGACCGCGG
rnacentral:rRNA from 1 species